UAAGUAUUGCCUAUGCCAAGUUUUCCAA
rnacentral:sRNA from 1 species